rnacentral:rRNA from 1 species
GUCGAGAAUAUUCCACAAUGGGCGAAAGCCUGAUGGAGCGACGCCGCGUGCGGGAAGAAGUCCUUCGGGAUGUAAACCGCUUUUCUCCGGGACGAACAAAUGACGGUACCGGAGGAAUAAGAGGUUGCUAACUCUGUGCCAGCAGCAGCGGUAAUACAGAGACCUCAAGCGUUAUCCGGAUUUACUGGGCGUAAAGCGUCCGCAGGUGGUUUUAAAAGUUUUCGGUUAAAGGCCACGGCUCAACCGGGGAACGGCCGAAAAUACUUUAAAACUAGAGGCCGGGAGAGGCAAGCGGAACUGUCGGUGUAGCGGUAAAAUGUGUUAAUAUCGGCAGGAACACCAAAGGCGAAGGCAGCUUGCUGGAACGGUCCUGACACUCAUGGACGAAAGCGUGGGGAGCAAAAGGGAUUAGAAACCCGGGUAGUCC